CUUAGAUAGAUAAUACAGUUACAAAUUAAAUGCAGUUGUUGGGAUGUCUAACCCUAAUGUCAUGUUUACUUGCCAAUUUUGCUUAAAAAAAUUAAAUGAAGUGGAUCAUUUUUUAAAUUUUAAUUGUCUCCAUAGAUAUUAGAUAAACAUCAUAGAUUAAACUAAAUUGAGAACAACUAAAUAUAGUUAGUAUUAAAUUAAGAACAACUAAAUUGAGAACAAGCUAAGCAAUGGGCCUAUAGUUAUCUAUAGAAUCUGCAUCUAGAUUUAUAGGAAACAGCACCGCCGUGUUAGAAUUUAAAUUUGGUAGAAUCCACCUAGACUUGAACAAUUGCAGCACUAACUGAUAGACAGUAUCUCCAACUGCAUCCUAGUAGUGCUGGAAGAAAAUCCGUUGCAACCAUCGGUCCCGGGAACACCCUCACCAUUCAUGUCAAACACUAAAGAUUUAACCUCCUCAUUUAAAGGGAUGUUGGAUAAAAAAGCAUCAUCUUCACCUGAUACCAAGCUUGGAAUGGUACGAUAUAUCUACAAAGCUGUUAGGGAUACAAGAGUCGCUGCCCGCAUAAAUAUUGGGAAAGAAAUCCCACACCUCUGCUUCGAACUCCUCUUGAGACUCUAGUAAUCAAUUCCCUUUACGUAGCUAAGAUAGACCCUUAGAUACAAAAUGAUGGAGUGCUAUUUUAUGAAAAAAGAAGUAUUCUGCUCUCCUUGAGCAUGCCCUUAGAUUCUUGACUUUUCUCGCCAUAAGCAUUCCUGAAAACGCAAAACUGUUUGCAGCUCCUUUUGUGCCAGAACUUCUUGAUUAAAUAAUGCAUCCGAGUAUCCCACAUUCACAAUCUGUUGUUGGAUACUGUCCACCUCAUUGGUAGCUUAAAGCACAAGCUGGUGGACAUUCCCAAACACAUUUUUAAUCCAGGUUUUUAAUUAACACUUUUACAUUUUCAGCUUUUGUUGCAAAACAACUAUAGGACAACCUAGGACAUGACACGACCAAACUUCCUCAACAAAUCUUACACAAUCCACAUUUUAAUGAAGAAAAAAUGAGAGGCAUGUAACAUUGAACAAUGCUGAAAAUUCGUCAAUAAAGGAUGGUGAUCCGACUACGUUUGUGACAUAGUAAAGCAUGAAAUGUAUAGGGGAAGCUUGCCCCCUCUCUUCUCGUGCUCUCCCAGUAUGGCAUUAUUGUCACCAAGAAAACACUACGGCCCUGGGUACCUUUGCUGGAGAUCAGUUAAUUGCACCCAGAGUUGGAUUCUCAGAAUGUAGGUGGUACAAGCAUAAAUUGCAGCAAAAAACAAUGUACCGUUACUCUCUCUCUCUCUCUCUCUCUUAUAUAUAUAUAUAUAUAUAUAUAUAUAUAUGUGUGUGUUAAUAUAAUUUUACUCUUUUUAGUUGGGAUACAUUAGCAACUUACAAAAAAAACAAUCAUGUUUUUUAGUUACCUUUUACUAGGGACACCACAGUAAUUUAUGAUUUAACUUUUAAAAUAUAUCUCCUCUCUCCUCUUGCACUUGUUUCUAUUCCCAGAUUCUUUGUUCUGCUUCUCUUCAUUCUCGCUACCAACUCGUUAUUACCAUAUUUGCUAGUGAUCCCACUCAAUUUUUCUGAUACGGACACGGUGUUUUCUAGAUGGUGCAGGGAAGUUGGACUAGGUUUCUACUUCUAAGAAGUUGGACUAUAUGUUUGCUUCUGAAUGUAUAGUGGUAAUGACUAUUGUUUUCGGUUAGGAUGGUUCAACAUGGGUUGGUGGACAACAUGGUUGAUGUGGAAGGAAGAGUGAAGAGAAAGGAAAAAUAAGAAGGUUGUGGCGGGAAUGUAGUCACCAUUGCUUCUAAUAGUAGAGGAGUAGAAGUUGUUGGUUUGGGUGGGAAUGAUUUGGUAGCUAGGGGUUGACAGCAAAGAUGAAAAGGAAAGUGAAGAGGUAGCAAAAGAUGAAGACUGUGAUGAGAAUGCUUUGACUAUACAUAGAAGUUACUCUACUAAUAGAAGCAAUAGUGACAAAAUCCCGUCACAAUCUUCCUAUUUUUCUUUCUCUUCACUCUUCCUUCCAUCUCUUCCGUGUUGUUGAACAACCCCUAUAGAACCAUCCUCAUUCAAAACAAUAGCACUACCACUGUACUUUCAGAAACAAACAUAUGGUCUUAAACCUUAAUAGCCUAAACAUAAUCCAACUCCUCAAUACAAUCACUUGAAUACACGGUGCUUGUAUAAGCAAAAUUGAGAGAGUUGUUGAUCAAUGUGAUAGUGUUUCCUGAUGGAGAGGAUGAAUAAAAGAAAAGAAAAUAUGGAAAGAGAACUGGUGGAAAAGGAGAGAGAAAUAAUUUUUUAUUUUUAAAAAAUUAAUAUACUAUAUUACUAUUAUAUUUGUAAUAACUAGUAAGAAUUAACUAAAACAAAAUAUUUCACUAAAUUUUUUGUCUAAGCUUUUUUAUUGUUGGUUAUCAAUUUAUUCCAACUAAAAAAAUAAAAGUUUGUUACCAAACACUACAUAUAUACAUAUACAUACGCAGUGAGAAAGAGAGAGGUUGCUCUAACUUCUACGCUAAGCACUAAUUCCAUCACCUUCUUGGACUACCAUCCAUUGGAGAAUAGCGCUCCACUGCUUAUGUGACAUCGGGUAACACUUGUUUAAAAAGUGUGAGCAAUUGAGUGUCAUGACUUUCGUAAGAGUUAUGAUCAUUACAUUUGGGCAUGGGUCAAAAAAUUCCAACAGGUGGGAUCUUUUAUUGAUCCACAUGGGAUCAAUAUUUUUUAUAAAAUAUAUGAUAAUAAACUUCCCUAGAAGGUCACCUAAACGAACCUUGGCCACUCAGUUUAAAAUCAAUAAAUCUCAAUGGUUUUUAUUAGUUUUUCAAGGUGGGAGACAUCAUCUCUUGGUCUCUCACAAUAUCCAAAGUCCUAGAUGUAAAUAUCUUUCUUAACUUUUUAAUAUAUAGAUAUACAAAAAAAUCCUAAUAUUUUAACAAAAUUGUUUGUAAGAAGUAGAUAUCCACAUUAGUCUCACCCAAAUAAUUGAGCAUGAUGACAAAAAUAAAAAACAGAAACAAACAUACACAUAUACGAAAAAAAAGUGAACCAGCUUUCAAACUCAACAAAACCUUGGUUUUUAUUGGGGCCAACACAGCACAUGAGGUUGACGAUGGACUUUGGCAAAGGGACUAUCCAACUCUAUCUAUGAACUCCUCAUCGGAGCAGUACUGCUUAGGAAGGUUUGGGAUAUGCACCACGUUUGACAAAACACUUGACUUCUUUCUCAAUGAAGACAGUUUGUCAUUAUUUAUGAGGGCCAUGAAAGAUUGAUUCAGCAUAGUGUUUGAAAGGAAACAAAAAUGUGAGGCGGAUUCAUCAAAAAGUUUGAGUGUGAUUACUGAUUCUAAAGUGUUGUUAACAGAAAAAUAAAGCAUUUGGAAUGAUAAACUCGACUAAAGGUAAUCAAGUAAGUUAUCCGAUAAUGAAAAAGAAGAUUUAUUUACUUCAUACCAAAGAUAUUACAAUACAUUUUUUUUUUCAUUUUUUGUAUUAUUUUGUAUCACGAUAAUUGAAUGCAUCUAAAUAUUUAAGUUAUAUUACUAUUAUAUUGAUUAUGAAUUCAAAUAGUAUUAUUACAAUUACUAUUACUAUUCUUAAUAUUAUUAUUAACAAUUCUAAAUAAUCAUAGAUUCUUGCAUCCAAUGCAACAAAUCAUCACCCAAUCACAUGCACAAUCAAAUUCCGGCACUCGUUGCCCGAGAAUCACAUUUCUCUUAGCCUCUAAUUAAGAUAAGCAAUAAUAUAAUCCCAAACACAAUCAUCCAAUAAUCAAAGCGAACUACAGAGGUUCCCCUUUUAAGGUAGAACACUGAAUCACAAGUCCAAACAAGCAAAAUAAAACUCACAAAGCAAUUAUAUUAAUUGUCUUUAAAAAACAUUUAUAUUAAUUCAUUUCCUAUAUUACUCAUAUGCUCAUAAUUCUUUUAUAACAUUAUCUAACAUGUCAAAUGAACUCAAACUCAUGAAAAUUUACAGAGAUAUAUACUCCUCAACAUGCAGACUGUAUCACAAAAAUUAUGCACACCAAAAUUCAACAUAAAACGUUUAUUUUAAAUUAAACGCAGUUUAUAGGACAUACUUUGAAUGUGGUUUUGGAAUUUUAAAAAUUUUAAACUUGUGUUUUUUUUUUUAUCAAAGUUCACACAGAGCAUGCUAAACAUGUAAGAUAGUCACAUAUUAUUUUUCCAAAUUUAAUAUUUGAAAAGAACACCUUGUUUAUAAGUAAAUGUCUUUGCUGUCCAAAAAACAGAGUUUCCACGAGAAAACAAAUAAAUACAAAAAACAUUUAAAAACUUUGAGAAAAUAACAAGGCACUAAAAAAGAUCAAACAUGCAUAGUAUAAUUUUUUGAAUUCCUAAAUAUUAAGAAAAUAUUAUUUCCAUAUUUAUUUUCUCAACUGGACAGAAUGUGUGGUUUUUCAGAAAAUAAAUAUUUAAAAAUAUUUCCCAAGCUGAUUAGGGUUAAACGAAAUCAUGUUUAGUUCCCUUCAUUUAUUAAACAAUUUUAUGGUUCCAGUUUUCAAAAUUUGUGCUCCACAAUUUUUAUAGAGAGAAAAACAACGCGCUAGACAAAUACGACAAUUCCAUUAAAAGAAUAUAGUGCUCAAAAAAAAUAAAUGAGUGAGUUUCUUGAGCUUUGAAGGUGAAGAGCAAAGGAAGAAGAUGAGGAUAAUGAAUUUACUUACCCAAAGUUAAGCAAGAAUUGACAUCUAAGUUUCAUAACUCCGAGACCCAACCUCUCCAGCACACAAAUGCCGUGAAAGAAUUCAAUUUCCCUCUCUUCCUCAAAACCAG
rnacentral:lncRNA from 1 species